rfam:Puccinia graminis f. sp. tritici CRL 75-36-700-3 supercont2.39 genomic scaffold, whole genome shotgun sequence.
GUCUCCGUGGCGCAAUUGGUUAGCGCGUUCGACUGUUAUCCAUGUUACCCAGUCAGGCUUCCCCUCUCACCAGGGGCCCCGGCUAAGGCGGCACAAAAAAUAUCGAGAGGUUGGCAGUUCAAGCCUGCCCGGGGACG